UUCUUAUGUAUAAGAUAUUUGUACCGAUAUACCUUCGGUAGUAUUUAAACCGCUUUCAAAAUAUUCGUAUCUUUAAAAAUCAUUAUUUCAGAUGUCAUGAUGAAAGUUAAUCUUGAAUUGUGAUGUAUAAUUACUUUAUUUUUUAAAUAAGAACAAAGAUGUAUAAUGGAAACAUACCAACAAGAUAGCAACAGAACAAGUAAACAAAACCAAAAAGACACACAUAGUUAGAUGUGACACUUUUGGUGUAACAUAGUUAAAGAUACACGUUAAAUCCGGGAUUAACACUGCUAGUUUUUCAAAUAAAUAAGAUAAAAUGACAAAGGCAAAAGUAGAAUUUUCAGAUUUUCAGUUAGGUAGUAAAGUUCUGAACACUUUAUCUGGCUUAAAGUUUUCAAAUCAUUCCAAAUUUUCCGUUUUCUUAUAUCUAAAAUCACACAUUUGAGGUAAAUAAUCAAUCAAACUUAACCUUUUCGUUAGUAUUUUUCUGUUUGAUAAUAACCGAUAAUAAUAAUAAAUUUAUGAAAUGAUGUAUAGUGUUAUUCAUGUUAAAUCAUUCAUGCGUAUCUAAGAGUAAACAUGCAGACCGUUUAUCCAAGUAUAAAAGUCAUUGACCAUAACUUGACAUUCUCGAAAGUCGUUUACACGAACACUUUUACCGACAUCGAUACCUACACUGACUAAAAAAUAAUGGGACCGUGUCAAAAUGUCGAAGUAUAACCUCGAAUGAAUAACCUCGUAAAAUUUGGUUGGAAUCAUCAGAGGUAAAACAUAUAAAUUUUAGGAAUGAAACCCGAGGGAACACAUGGAUACAUGAAUUAGAUCCAACUUCUGCAAGACAAUACUUUAUUAAGCCUGAGACACACAGGAGUAAAUUCGUCCAUGUAUGGUACCCCAAAACACCUUUCCGUGUCUAUGAGAAAUGUUUAAUUUGACCAUCUGUGUUUUGUUAUAUAAAUCCUGUCACACGGAUUCAACAUGAUUAAAUAUAAUGUUUUGAAACAAAA